AUAUUUUACUCGGUCCAAAAAAAAAAUCUUCUGCUCGCUCCUGUACUUUUCCAGAGACACUACGCAUAUCUAGAAACAUCCAUUAUCACCAUCUCUCCUGCAUAAUUUCAAAGUUUCAGGGUGUUCUUUCAAUUUUAUUCACCAUCAGUGAACUAUUUUGAUUCCCUUCAUCUUUACAGCAGAUUAGAAUUGCAGGUUUGUUCAUAUCUCAAUUUUUGCUCAAUCCUUUUAUUCUUUUUCAGUCAUUGCCUUUUUGGGGUUCUUUCCAUAUUGGGUGAUCGAGAGUACAUUCAAAGAGACAGAAACAAAAGUUAUAUUUUUGUUUCAAGAAGUUGUAUAACUACGUCGAAUCGUCCUCUCCUUCGGUACUAUCUGCAAUUGUUCAUCUUCUAGCCUCUGUUGCGUUUAUUACAUUCAAAUUGAUUACAAGCUUGUAUCAUGUAUGGGUAUCUCAAUGACGCAAGAGCUUCUUUUGUGGUGCAGUGCUACCACUUUUUGGCAUCAAUUGGCAGAGUGUCGUGGCAGUUACUUUCAUAUUUGGGAUAUUACACUAGGAAAGUGGUCGAAAAUACUCCUUUGCUGCUUGGUAUUUGUUGACGCGGGAGCUUCUUUUGUGGUGCACUGCUACCACUUUUUGGCAUCAAUUGGCAGAGUGUUGUGGCAGUUACUUUCAUAUUUGGGAUAUUACACUUGGAAAGUGGUCGGAAAUACUCCUUUGCUGCCUGCGCACCCCCAUAUGCUCAUUACAUCCUCAAAGUACUGAUCCACAUAUACGUCUAUGUGCUACAUUGUCUCAUAAUGUAGGUACAAGAUUUAGUAUGCACAUUCAGACUCGGACAGUUGCAGAUUCCAAUCAGCGAGAUGACGAGCCCUCCUAUUUCGGGGACUUCAGUUAGAUUUACUAUUGUUCUUUACUUUCUUAUUCUUAUGUAUUGAUUAGUGGUAACUGGGGUCGCGUUCUAGCUGUCUAUAGUCAGUAUAGUAGAGGCUUCACAGAUGUCAGUAAGAGUCAGUUAUGUAAACUUCAGUUUUCAGUUUUUUUGUUUUGUAUAAGCAGAGUUGUAAUCUUGAAAAUUCAGUUUUGUAUUGAUCAAGUUCAGAAAAGUUUUAUGUUUCCGUUGAUUUUAUUCAGAUUUAUAUAUUUUAUUCAGUUGCUUGUAAGUAUGCCAGUAGAAGGGUUAGCCUGGGAUCACUUGUGAGUCUAAGCACCGUGUGACGUCUCGGGAUCCAUUUUCGGGGCAUUACAGGUUCUAUGCUAAACUUAAGGUUUAGGCGAAGAAUAUAAGAAUUGACAAUUUGGAUAGUGCUAGAACCUAGUGUCUGGUGAUGUUCUUAAUUUUCUAUUAUAACUUGGGCUUUACACCAAGUUAACUCAAGGAAGGAUGUACACCACUCCCGGUAGAGACAGGAUGAUCUUGGAUAUGGAAAGGGAACAUAGUUCUAAAUAAAGAUAAUUUAUUGCUUAAAUACCUUUGGUACAGAACUGCUUUUACCAAGCUACUGCCUAAAAUAUUUCAUGGACAAGCUAUCAAUUUAAGCUAAGCGUAUCUGCAAAAAAUAUAGAGCUUGUUUGGAUUGACUUCUGACUUUUGGCAAGACAUAAGUUAGAAUAAGCCAAUUCAUAGAAGUGCUUUAAGUCAUUUGGCUUAAAAGCACUUAAAAUAAGCCAAUCCAAACAGGUUAGCUGUACUUUGAUAGAAAUAUUUAUAACAAAUACCUUCAACCAUUAUUUGUUUCAGGGUGUUUGACCAUCUCCGAUAUGAUUAUGAUUUCUUGUUUCUCUAAUCAACAUCCAUUUAGGUGAAAAAGGCAAUAUACUAUAUAUGCUCUUUCUUUUACUGCUUCUGUUUACUAGCACAGUUGAUUAUCACAAAUAUCCACUUUUAUGUCCCUCUAAGUACAAAGGUAGCUGCUUUUUAAAGAGUACUGAGCCUAAAUGAGGUGUUCUAUUUGAUUGAUCUGAAAAAUGACCGAGAGAGGGGUAAAGCGUGCAAGUACUUGAAUAUGUGUGUUGCGGUGAUGGUCUGCUUCAUUGUGGGUUAUAAUUUACAUAAUUGCAUUGAGAAAAUCCAACCCAUAUCUUGGCAUCCAUAUGCAAACAGGUGUCUUGCAGACAUGUCAUGUGUUGCUUUUGCUUUGCAUGUUCAUACACAGCAAAAUCUACAGCCUAAACGUAGGCUCAAAAUGAGACAA